ACAGAUUGUGCAGACCUGGCCAAGAUUAAGGCUGGAGACCUUCUCAGAAAGAAAGAAGAACUGCUGAAACAGCUGGAAGACCUGAAAGUGGAGCUGUGGCAGCAAACUCAGAAAGAGAAGCUCAGGAAAUUCUACAAAGGUAAAAAGCACAAGCCUUUGGAUAUGUGGCCCAAGAAGACACAUGCCAUGGUCCACCAACUUAACAAGCACUAGGAGAACCUGAAGACCAAGAAGCAGCAGCAAGUAUGCGGUCAAGACAUGAGCAUCGGCGUCAAUAAAGCACAAACUGAAAAGUAAAAUAAAAUAAAAAAAAUAAAAAUGAGUUGCCCUUA